rfam:Coniochaeta ligniaria NRRL 30616 unplaced genomic scaffold CONLIGscaffold_2, whole genome shotgun sequence.
GCCCCCGUGGCCUAAUGGCUAAGGCGCAAGAGUCAGUAACGAUGUCCCUCAGAGUCCCACUACAGCAUCACUGACAAUCACACAGCUUCUAUUAACAAAUCUUGAGAUUGCGGGUUCGAUCCCCGCCGGGGGUU